UAGCUAAGAUAUAUUUAUGAUCAUAUGUUAUGAAAGAUCGGCAUAUACGUACCGCUGUUUUUUUAAAAAAAACAGAUCACCUGAAGAAACAUUAGUGCUCUCUAUUACAAUCACUGUGUUAGAAACAAAAUACAACCAUGAAUCAAAAAAAUAAAAGGAACAGAAGAAGGUAUUACCAUACUCCCUCCGUCCCAAAAUAUAAAGAAUUGGAGGGAUAUAACAUAAUAUUCAUACUAAUAGGAUAUGUCAUACCUCUCUAAAAUCUCUAAUAUAUAUUAGAGUAGGUAUAAUAGGUAAAUUUUUGCUGGCUAUAUUGGGUCCAAACUGAAUAAAAUACAGAGUUAGAGAAGAAAUGAGUAGAAAGAGGGUCUGAGCGGGCGACUAAUUACAUACUAGUCGCCAGCUCCACACAGGCUCCAAUUCAACAGUAGCAGCGCAUGACCAGUUUCGGUUGAGCUCCAGUAGCUGCUCACUUCUCAAGGAAAAAUGAGUGUACAGGAAAGCUUC
rnacentral:sRNA from 1 species